rnacentral:rRNA from 1 species
UACGUAGGGAGCAAGCGUUGUCCGGAAUCAUUGGGCGUAAAGCGCGCGUAGGUGGCCUCGUAAGUCCGCUGUAAAAGUCAAAGGCUCAACCUUUGAAAGCCGGUGGAUACUGCGGGGCUAGAGUACGGAAGAGGCGAGUGGAAUUCCUGGUGUAGCGGUGGAAUGCGCAGAUAUCAGGAGGAACACCAAUAGCGAAGGCAGCUCGCUGGGACGGUACUGACGCUAAGGUGCGAAAGCGUGGGGAGCGAACAGG